rnacentral:rRNA from 1 species
UACAGAGGGGGCAAGCGUUGUUCGGAAUUACUGGGCGUAAAGGGCGCGUAGGCGGUUCGUUAAGUCCUGUGUGAAAUCCCCCCGGCUCAACUGGGGAACUGCACAGGAAACUAGCGGGCUUGAGUUCGGGAGAGGGAAGCGGAAUUCCGGGUGUAGCGGUGAAAUGCGUAGAUAUCUGGAGGAAUACCGGUGGCGAAGGCGGCAUCCUGGACCGGCAUUGACGCUGAUGAGCGAAAGCUAGGG